GACAGAGGUGCCGAGCGUUAGGCGGAAUCACUGGGCUUAAAGCGUGUGUAGGUGGAUGCCUAAGUACCUUGUGAAAUCCCACGGCUUAACCGUGGAACUGCUUGGUAUACUAGGUGUCUUGAGCCAGCUAGGGGCUACCGGAACAAAUGGUGGAGCCGGUGAAAUGCGUAGAUAUCAUUUGGAACGCCAAUGGUGAAAACAGGUAGCUGGGGCUGUGCUGACACUGAGACACGAAAGCCAGGGGAGCGAACGGG
rnacentral:rRNA from 1 species